rnacentral:lncRNA from 1 species
UUGCAAUUUGGAUUGGGAACCUACUUUCCCUUGGGGGAAACGCAUUUAAUUUUCCUGCUUUGUGAUAUCAAGAGGCUGGUUCAGGCUGCAGAGAGGGAGUUAAAAAUAUUACCAACAUGGGAAUUCAUUUACUAAGUUUUAAAAACUCAAAACCAAGGUGUAAGGAAAAGGGUAAAAAGGACAAAUGGGACUCUCACAGUAUUAGUAUUUGGAGCCAAUCAAGUCCCUGAAUACAGCUCAAUCCAAUCAACCUAACAUAACAUAGCCAGCCAUCAAAUUAACAUAAAUUUUCUUUCUAAUCCAAGAACGGAUAAUGUGAUUCCCGGUUUAAUAAGUCAAGCUAAUCAAUCAUAGUCAUUACUCAUUAGGAGCCACAUGAAAGUGAGAGGAAUUCAGUAUUCGGAUGAAUUCAAUUCGAUACAUCAGAAAGGAAAGAACCAAUAAAAAAUAAAUUUAAAAAUUUCUCUACAAAAAUAGUUGUCAAGUAAUAGACUUAAUUCAAAGUUCAAAGCAUUUUUUAAGCAAGUGUAAUUAAAUAGAAUAUUAGAUAUAAAUAUAAUAUUAAUUUACUACUAUUGGGUAUAAGAACCCUAUGACAAUGGAAUAUAAUAAAAAAUAACAAAUGGAUUACAAUGAAAUAGAAAUAUUUUUUCUUCCAACCGCUCAUUUUCCAUUCUUUACUUCUUUCUUUUUCUUGUUUUUAACCUAAUCAAUGGUCUUGAGUUUUCAUUCCUAGACCCUAAUUUUAGAAGUCUUUGUAUUUUUCUUCUCAUUUGAAUCACCCAAUCUUUGUGUUUUUCACCCAAUCAAUGAAGCCUCUUUAUGUUCUUUCUUUAUAUUCUUUUGAACUCAAACUCCAUUAACAAACCUAUAUCAAAACUGUAGCACUCUUCUACAAACAAUUCUAGACAAACCAUAGGUGACAAAAUUUGAUAUCAUUAAAGGCAGGAAAAGCAAUAUUGAAGACCCAAAGAUGCUUGCGAAUGUGAAAGAUGGAAAACAUCAUACUCCUUUUGAUUAUACCCUUCCUCCGCCACCUCCAUUAGGUACUAACAGUUUUUGUAGUUUGGGCUCUCAUUUCUCAAGUCUAAUAAUUUUUUCUUCUUUAAGUCUUCUUUAUGAAUAGGAAAAGCAGAUGUUUCUUAAUUCUACCAUGUUUCCUCUAAAAACCAUCAGUUUAAUAAUUAAAUGAUGAUAUUUUUCGGACAGCCUGCUACAACUGUUAGGGACUAAUUUCAAUGCAUAUAUGAAAGACUUUUAUUUGGGUUUGGUUGGGCCUGUAUUGGAAACUUAAAUAAACAAAAAAGCACUUGCUUGAACAAUAACUUGACAUACUGUUGUUGGAAGGAAGGUUGAUACUGUGAAGUGGGUUUAUUAGGGUUGAAAAGAGUAGCUUGAUAAGGUAGGCAUAGUAACUAUAUAAGGAUAAAGAAGAGAGGAAAAAAAUUCAGGGAUUGCACCUAGUAAAAUUGGAUGGGCUUUGAAGCUGUUUAAAAUAAAACUCUCGUUGAAUUUAAACAUUAUAUUAUUGAAAUGUUUCUUCAAAAAUCAAUUUGAAGAUUACCAGAGCUUGAACUCUAAUUAGUUUUUUACUGCUUUAAUAGCCUUAACAAAAAUGUUGGCCUUACAACCUAAAUGCUUUUUUGUGACCUUAUUCAUUUUACAUAAUUGCAAUUUUUUCCUCUUUUCCUCUUUUAUUGUAUUUAAUCCUUUCCCUAUUACUAUGUUCAAAAUUGUCCAAAUUCUACAAAUUUAUAUUUUCUAUAAACUCUUCUUCUUUGUACUUUUGUUUCACCUUUACAUUUAUUUGGGAAAUUUUUAUUAUGAUGCUAGAAGAACUAAAACCCUAAAAUACAGAUAGCUAUGGAAAACUACUAUGUGGUAUGGUAGAAGUGUGGUUCCACCAUUCCUUUCUCGUGCUUUUUCUUUUUCUUUAGAAUGAAAGGAAUCAUAAGCGACUUCGAAGACUAACAAAUGACAGAGAGGGUUCAAUUAUUGAGCAUUAAUUAAGUGCAAGUAAUACAAUAUUAAUAAAACGCAUAUAAAGAGCUUUACCCAGUCAUGUGAGAGGCUUUGUUUCUCUGUUCUGCUUUUCAAAUUUAUCUCUAUUACUAAAAUCAGUCAUAAGGGUAUCAUGUAUAUUUGUAGACUUUUUUAGAAAUGGGACUGGACUCCCAUUUUGGAAAAGUGAUUAGAAAUGGGAAUUUGUGAAUCACUUUGUAAAUGUUUUCUUUUUCAUAAAAGUUAGUUUGUUUUUGUUUUUUGUUUUUCUUUUCUUGGUCACCCGGCGCCCAAUAUUUUUAUAUUUAGUUAUUAUGUGUAAGUUUUUGAACUCUUUUUGUCCCAUAGGAGCUGCACAGAAGGCGUUUGCAACUAAAAGCAAAACCAAAGACUAAAAAGACAUCAGAAGGUUUGUUGACUAAUUUAUUGUAAAUUGAUUUUCGCACGAUGUUUUGUAUAAGCUAUUGAACAUCGUAGGGAUGGUUGACGGGUCUGGAAAAUCUCGAGGGCAAGUACAAAUGAAGGUGGAAGUGAAGUAGUUGAGGAUUUUAGUGUUUACAUCUCAACAUGCAGCAAUAUGAGGGAUGACUCCCUGCAGCAAAAUAAUAUACCAAAAGAGAUGGCAUUAAAAAAGCAGCAGAAGCUACACUGGGGUAACAAUUUCCUUUAAAUUAUUGACAACUUAACUUUUUAAACUAUAAACCUCGCAAUAAAAGUAGUUUAUUAAUGUUUCGAUUGUCUUAUUUUCUCGCUUCAAAUUAAUCAUAUUCUAGCGUUUGGUUUUAUAAUUCCACAAAGGAAAGAUGGGAGAGGAAAUCCAACAUGUAACAUGUAUCUCCUCUUAAGUGGUAGUAAUGCAGCUUUAAUUGGCAGUCACUUUUCGGGCACAUUGAAACUCACUUCUAAAGACUUUUUAGUCAGGACUAAAGUUUCAAGCUUUCGUUUGUACUUUUUCUCAAACUGUACAAAUUAAACCAAGAAUACUAAUAACCUAGAUCACAAAUCAAAUAAGUAACACAAUGUAUUUGCAGAAACAUUUUCAAAAAGAUACAAAGUAAUAUUUACCCCAUAUCAUCAGCCAGAGGCCCAGGAUGCAUCCAUAUUUAUUCGCAGCACUACAUAAACCUGAAAUGCAUUCAAAAAGUUAAAUUGCAGUUCCUCAGUAUGUGAAUAAAGCACUAUCAGGCCUAAAGGUACCCAAAACACUACAUCAGAUAACAGGACCGACUUAACUGUCAUUCAUUGUUCAAACUGUAAUAAAUCUUUUAAACAUGACUGACUUAACUUUUAUUCAUAGUUCAAACUGUAAUAAAUCCUUCACUUGAAAAAUGAAGAAGAAUAUAAAAAAAAACAAUAAGUUGCGAACCAAAUCCAUUCACUCAUUUUACUUGAAAAAAAAGUAAUACCUCAAAAAAUUAAAAGAGCAGAACAAUCUAAAACCUUCAACUUUCAAUAGGAACCCCUAAAACAAAGCACACAGUGGUUAAGAAAUCUUGAAUCUGACCCUCUCCCAACCCAACCUGCCUAUUUACUACUGGCAUAAAGUUAAAAUUAGAUUAUCAUUAAGAAUGGAGUAGGAGGGGCGGUUGAUGAAAAUUUGAAAACAGUUGAUAUUUGAGUUAUGUGAAUUCUGCAGGAUUGUGGAUGCUGCUGAAACAUGAAGAAGGUUAGGAAGAUGAAGACUUGGAAACUUAGCCAUGAAGACUUUCACAUUAGCCAUAGUUACAUAGUCACAAAUGGGUUAGAAACUUGAAAACUUAUAAUAUACCCAAUGUUCUAUAGCCUAAGCCUUCAGACAUGGUUGUCUUACAACCAGGUAUCAAAUUAUCAGUAAUUUUUCAGACUUUUCGUUGCUUAUAAUUUUAGUUUUUAGUUACAUUGGCAUGAUUUUACUUAACAUACCUAAUAUUAAAAAUGAAAAGUUACUUAACAUACCUAAUUAAAAAUGAAAACAACUUAUAUAUAAUACAUACAUACAUUGACGACUCAAAUAUAGGAGUUAUAAACUUUAGAUAUAAACUUUAGAUAAUGGGUUGACUGAUUCCCAGAUUCUUUUUGUAUCAUCAUCUAGAUAAAGUAUCUGAAUUGCGUUUGCACAUGCUUGAAACUUUCCAUGUUCAUCCUGCACUUUGAUAUUGGAAGACUUCUGGAAUGCAAUAAAAAUUAUUUUAAUUUGCUAGUCAAACAUACAUAAGACCUAGUUGUUAUUGAUGCAAGAAAAAUCUACUACAACUAACAACCGCGGUGCGAUGCAUUGAAAUAAAAAUACUUUUAAAUUAAUUAUAAAAAUAUUUUAAUACCCUGUAAAAUAGUUGUAAAAGAUGCAGGUCUACACCACACAUUUUGGUAUAUAUUAUGUAACCAUGCUACUUCUGAAAUUACUUUCGUAAAAAUUUCUAAUCUAAAAAUAUUUUAUCUGAUCAUACUACAGUGCACCGCUCCGUCAAACAGACACUUAGCAAUAUAAGUAGUAGAACGGUUAACACUUCAUAUGAGAUAUGAGUGUGUAUUAAUUAACUUAAUUGAAUUUCUUUUAUAGUUCUUUCUAGGAACCAGUAUCACCAAUUUCUUUUAUAGUUCUUUUCUUAAUAGCUACUCCACGCACCAACACCAUUAAGUUUGUGUUCCACACCAUUGAGUUUGUGUUCCACACCAUUUUGUAUGUGUGCCACACCAAUACUUGGACACUUGGUGCAGAACGUUUAACCCAUUGAGUUUGUGUGCCACUAUUGAAUCCAAUUAGUGCAGAAAGUUUAACACAUUGAGUUUGUGUUAAUAUAAUUAUGUAUUUUUUUUGGGUGAGAUUUUCAGUUAGUUUAUGUAAUUAAAGUCUAUAAUAUAUCCAAGUCUCUUGGAUUAUAUUCUUUUUAUUCGGAAAAACCGAAUUAACUUCUAUUGGCAUAACAUUAUGAUGGACUAAAAACACUUUAAAUUCAAAAACUAUGUUUGAGAGUGAUAUGUGACAUAACCAAAGUACUAUCAAUAUCUUAUCUAAAUGAGGUGCUUUAAAAAUUAUUUAUCAAAUAAUAUAUUUUACUUUUGAAUAAAUUAAACCACAGUCUGAUAAUUGCUCAAAUAAUUAUGCAGUCAAGUGCAAAAAAUAAUUUGGGGCAGGGGCAGUGAGAGCUUGUUCGCUGAUUUUGCUCAGAGCUUAAGAAAAUUGUUCUAGUUAGGGGAAGUGUUUGCCAGAUCUUCCGGAGAACCAACCCAUUGUGUCCUCAUUGUAAAAAAUAAUAAAGGAAAAAUAGUCUGUAUGAAAGCAAAAAAACUCAAUAAUUGGAAAUGUUGAAUUAGUUUGUUUUACAAUUUUGAAAAAACUUAAAUUUCUAGUAAUAUAUACAACACAGUAAAUGUGUUAAAAGUUUGCAUCUUGGGUUUGAUUUAUUUACCUAGCUAGCACGGUUCAUAAUUUUAAUGAAACAUUAAUGCAAAGGGCCAAACAAACAAAUACAGAAUUACGGCCGGACAAGUAAGCCAAAAAGAAGAGGUAGGCACAAAAUCCCAAAUACAUCCAUGAUGUGGGAACAACAACCCAAAAACUUCCAUGAUGUGGGUUUCUCUGUUAUUGGGGUUUCUAAAACCCCAAGAAAUUCUCAAACAUCAAUGCUCAAUAUUGAACCCUCUGUUCUUCAAAUACCCACUAAAAUACCUCAAAAUUAAGACUAUUCCAAAAGUUUUGUAGUAUAAUAUUCGAAAGAAAAAACAAAAGGCUACCUUGGGGGAAUUAGGCGGAAAGAUAGAUGCAGAAGAGGAGGGGUCCGUAAGAUCUGAAGGCGCUUUCCUUGAGCUGAAACUUCCAAGCCUUGUGAUUUAUGCUUUGGAUCGUAUAUUAGGGGCUGAGUAUGAGAUUUAGGGUUGGGAGGGAUGGAGUUAUUUGGGGGAAUGAGAACAGAGAGCUGAGAGGGGAGUUGAGAGGGAUGGAGUUAUUUGGGGGGGAAUGAGAACAGAGAGAGAGACAGAGGGUUUGAAAUUUGAACAAGAGAGCUGCUGACGUACAACAUUG